rnacentral:tRNA from 1 species
GGAGUUGUAGCUCAGUCAUAGAGUGCUUGCCUUGUACACAUGAGGUCCUGGGUUCAAUCCUCAGCACCA